rnacentral:rRNA from 1 species
UACGUAGGGUGCAGGCGUUAAUCGGAAUUACUGGGCGUAAAGCGUGCGCAGGCGGUUCGCUAAGACAGAGGUGAAAUCCCCGGGCUCAACCUGGGAACUGCCUUUGUGACUGCAUAGCUAGAGUACGGUAGAGGGGGAUGGAAUUCCGCGUGUAGCAGUGAAAUGCGUAGAUAUGCGGAGGAACACCGAUGGCGAAGGCAAUCCCCUGGACCUGUACUGACGCUCAUGCACGAAAGCGUGGGGAGCAAACAGG